GAGGGCGCACAACUCAAAGAAAUAAUCAUAAAAAUGAUCUUACCAAUUUAUAUGCAUAUCCUUGCUUCAGGUCCUGAGCAACAGGCAGUUUACUUUGGGCACGUCAGUCAGGCGGAAAUUGAGAAAAAAGGACCCUAGCCCUAACAAGUUUAUUAAAAAACAUUUACAUUUCAAUUAUUAUUCCCAAACCUUUCCCUUCUAUAAUACACACCUUUUAUUAACAUAGAGCUGAGUAAACCAAUUUGUGAGCCACGUGGCUGGUGUAUACUUUACAUUAUCCAAUGCUCAACACUCAGCUCAGGAGGAGGCUACAGGGAGGAAAGAUGCUCUGUUUGUACUCACAACUCUUGUUUCACGCAUAGAUAGCCCUACAAUGUCAUCUGAAAUGUCAGGGAUUUGUAUUUAUUUAUUGCAGAAUGAUAAAACCAAUACAGAACAUACAUUGUAAAUGUAUCGAUCUCUGAGUUAGUCUGUUUACAUUUCCUUGUCAGAACAGCUGAUUGACUUGUGUCUCUAAGAUGGAGUGGACAGGCUUCUCUUUCUCUUCUGUCUCUUCAUCUUUCAUUCGGGGCACGGAGGCCAGCAGCAGGGUGUCGGCGUGCACCUCCUCUUCAUCUGAUUGGACCACAUUGUCGGUUCCGCCCCCUUCAUUGUCUACCUCUGAUGUGAAAGAGAGGAGUAGACAGGAGAGAUGAGUAGGAAGGAAUAGAAAAAGGAACCAAACGUCAUGACAGUGACGUUCAAGACGAACGCCCUUACAGAAUCACCCCCCCCAAAGGACCAAGCGGCGUGGUAAACAGAGGCUGCAGCAACAGCAGCAGCAGGAGAAGCGACUGGUGCAGCAGGAGCAACAGCAGCAGCAGCAAAGGCAGCAGCAGGAGGAGCAACAGCAGCAGCAGGAGAAGCGACUGGUGCAGCAGGAGCAACAGCAGCAGCAGCAAAGGCAGCAGCAGGAGGAGCAACAGCAGCAGCAGCAGAAGCAGCAGUGGGAGAGGCUGCACUACUUGGAGAGAUGGACUUGGGAGGAGAUUCUAGACGGGAAAGGACCCUGGGCAGAGCCAGGAGAAUAUUGCCGCCCCAAGGCCGAGCUGGAGGCAGCAAAAGCAGAGAGGCGGCAUUAUGAGGAACUAGCACGGCAGAGCGGAUGGAAGCCCGAGAGUCACCCCCAAAA
rnacentral:lncRNA from 13 species